CGCGUGAAGUCAGCCGCCUGGGGAGUACGGUCGCAAGAUUAAAACUCAAAGGAAUUGACGGGGACCCCGCACAAGCGGUGGAUGAUGUGGAUUAAUUCGAUGCAACGCGGAAAAACCUUACCUACCCUUGACAUGCCACUAACGAAGUAGAGGUACAUUAGGUGCCCGUAAGGGAAAGUGGACACAGGUGCUGCAUGGCUGUCGUCAGCUCGUGUCGUGAGAUGUUGGGUUAAGUCCCGCAACGAGCGCAACCCUUGUCUUUAGUUGCUACGCAAGAGCACUCUAAAGAGACUGCCGGUGACAAACCGGAGGAAGGUGGGGAUGACGUCAAGUCCUCAUGGCCCUUAUGGGUAGGGCUUCACACGUCAUACAAUGGUGCAUACAGGGGGUUGCCAACCCGCGAGGGGGAGCUAAUCUCAGAAAAUGCAUCGUAGUCCGGAUCGUAGUCUGCAACUCGACUACGUGAAGCUGGAAUCGCUAGUAAUCGCGGAUCAGAAUGUCGCGGUGAAUACGUUCCCGGGUCUUGUACACACCGCCCGUCACACCAUGGGAGUGGGUUUUGCCAGAAGCCGUUAGCCUAACCGCAAGGAGGGCGACGACCACGGCAGGGUUCAUGACUGGGGUGAAGUCGUAACAAGGUAGCCGUAUCGGAAGGUGCGGCUGGAUCACCUCCUUUCU
rnacentral:rRNA from 1 species